CAAGUCGAGCGCGGGAAGCAACUGAAUCCUUCGGGAGGACGUUUGUGGAACGAGCGGCGGACGGGUGAGUAACACGUGGGCAACCUGCCUGUAAGACUGGGAUAACUCCGGGAAACCGGGGCUAAUACCGGAUAACUCAUCGGAUCGCAUGAUCCGAGGUUGAAAGAUGGCUUCUUGCUAUCACUUACAGAUGGGCCCGCGGCGCAUUAGCUAGUUGGUGAGGUAACGGCUCACCAAGGCCACGAUGCGUAGCCGACCUGAGAGGGUGAUCGGCCACACUGGGACUGAGACACGGCCCAGACUCCUACGGGAGGCAGCAGUAGGGAAUCAUCCGCAAUGGACGAAAGUCUGACGGUGCAACGCCGCGUGAGUGAGGAAGGCCUUCGGGUCGUAAAACUCUGUUGUUAGGGAAGAACAAGUUCCGUUCGAAUAGGGCGGAGCCUUGACGGUACCUAACCAGAAAGCCACGGCUAACUACGUGCCAGCAGCCGCGGUAAUACGUAGGUGGCAAGCGUUGUCCGGAAUUAUUGGGCGUAAAGCGCGCGCAGGCGGUUCCUUAAGUCUGAUGUGAAAGCCCACGGCUCAACCGUGGAGGGUCAUUGGAAACUGGGGAACUUGAAGACAGAAGAGGAGAGCGGAAUUCCACGUGUAGCGGUGAAAUGCGUAGAUAUGUGGAGGAACACCAGUGGCGAAGGCGGCUCUCUGGUCUGUGCUUGACGCUGAGGCGCG
rnacentral:rRNA from 1 species